rnacentral:rRNA from 1 species
ACUCCUACGGGAGGCAGCAGUGGGGAAUAUUGGACAAUGGGCGAAAGCCUGAUCCAGCAAUGCCGCGUGAGUGAUGAAGGCCUUAGGGUUGUAAAGCUCUUUUACCCGGGAUGAUAAUGACAGUACCGGGAGAAUAAGCUCCGGCUAACUCCGUGCCAGCAGCCGCGGUAAUACGGAGGGUGCGAGCGUUAUCCGGAAUUACUGGGUUUAAAGGGUGCGUAGGCGGGCGAUUAAGUCAGAGGUGAAAGCUUUCAGCUUAACUGAGAAAUUGCCUUUGAUACUGAUUGUCUUGAAAUAUGUUGAGGUUAGCAGAAUGUGGCAUGUAGCGGUGAAAUGCAUAGAUAUGCCAUAGAAUACCAAUUGCGAAGGCAGCUAACUGGGCAUUAUUUGACGCUGAGGCACGAAAGCGUGGGGAGCGAACAGGAUUAGAUACCCUGGUAGGAUAGCG